rnacentral:rRNA from 1 species
AUUGAACGCUGGCGGCAGGCCUAACACAUGCAAGUCGAACGAGUGGCGGAAGGGUGAGUAAUGUCUGGGAAACUGCCUGAUGGAGGGGGAUAACUACUGGAAACGGUAGCUAAUACAGCAUACCAUCGGCGGUGCCAAGAUGGGAUUAGCUGGUAGUGGGGGUAAAGGCUCACCUAGGCGACGAUCCCUAGCUGGCCUGAGAGGAUGACCAGCACCCCUGGACCUGAGACACGUUCCAGACUCCUACGGGAGGCAGCAGUGGGGAAUAUUGCACAAGGGGCGCAAGCCUGAUGCAGCCAUGCCGCGUGUAUGAAGAAGGCCUUCGGGUUGUAAAGUACUUUCAGCGUGGAGGCGUUACCCACAGAAGAAGCACCGGCUAACUCCGUGCCAGCAGCCGCGGUAAUUC